CAGCGCCAAAUUAACUCCUCCCCGAAAACACAUCAUCUUAAAGCGAUAGCUUAGUAUACCCAGCAAAAAGCGAUCACUGCGUUCAGGCUGUCCUGCGAUGAAGAUCCUUAAUUUACAGUCUUUCCACUUCUUCCUGGUGGUGAGGAUGUAGGGGAGCAGCAGGGAGAUCUCAUGAAGUAUCUCAAUGAAUUUGGUGGACAGAUCAAGCUUGGGCCAGGACAAAACUGAUCAGAUUUUGGUCAUGACCAGAUUGUCUGCAAUAGUAUCAGGGAGGACAGGAUGUGUCCUUGUGCAUGUAUCUGUUACAAUCAAGGUACCUAAGAGAAUGCUGCUUAGGGGAACCAACACCUACCUCCAUC